UCGGGGUACUCGAGCGGCGAACGGGUGAGUAACACGUGAGCAACCUGCCCCUGGCUCUGGGAUAGCUCCGGGAAACCGGGAUUAAUACCGGAUAUGACCUCCUGCUGCAUGGCGGGGGGUGGAAAGGUUUUUCCGGCUGGGGAUGGGCUCGCGGCCUAUCAGCUUGUUGGUGGGGUGAUGGCCUACCAAGGCGACGACGGGUAGCCGGCCUGAGAGGGCGGGCGGCCACACUGGGACUGAGACACGGCCCAGACUCCUACGGGAGGCAGCAGUGGGGAAUAUUGCGCAAUGGGCGGAAGCCUGACGCAGCGACGCCGCGUGGGGGAUGAAGGCCUUCGGGUUGUAAACCUCUUUCAGCAGGGACGAAGCGGAAGUGACGGUACCUGCAGAAGAAGCGCCGGCUAACUACGUGCCAGCAGCCGCGGUAAUACGUAGGGCGCAAGCGUUGUCCGGAAUUAUUGGGCGUAAAGAGCUCGUAGGCGGCCUGUCGCGUCUGCUGUGAAAUCCCGGGGCUUAACCCCGGGCGUGCAGUGGAUACGGGCUGGCUGGAGGCAGGCAGGGGAGAAUGGAAUUCUCGGUGUAGCA
rnacentral:rRNA from 1 species